rnacentral:rRNA from 1 species
UUUACUGGGCGUAAAGAGCGUUGAGGCGGUUCUGUAAAUUGGGCGUGAAAGCCCUCGGCUUAACUGAGGGACGCCGUCCAAUACUGCAGGACUUGAGGGCAGCAGAGGAAGCUGGAUUCCCGGUGUAACGGUGAAAUGCGUAGAGAUCGGGAGGAACACCAGUGGCGAAGGCGGCCUCCUGGGCUGCUUCUGACGCUGAAUGCGAAAGCUAGGGUAGCGAACGGGAUUAGAAACCCCGGUAGUCCUAGCUGUAAACGAUGGAUGCUAGGUGUAGGAGGUAUAGAUCCCUUCUGUGCCGAAGCUAACGCGAUAAGCAUCCCGCCUGGGGACUACGGCCGCAAGGCUAAAACUCAAACGAAUUGACGGGGGCCCGCACAAGCAGCGGAGCGUGUGGUUUAAUUCGAUGCUACACGAAGAACCUUACCUGGGUUUGACAUGUAGGUAGUAGUGAAGCGAAAGCGGAACGACCCUUCGGGGAGCCUACACAGGUGCUGCAUGGCUGUCGUCAGCUCGUGCCGUGAGGUGUCGGGUUAAGUCCCGUAACGAGCGCAACCCCUGUCCUUAGUUACAAGUGUCUAAGGAGACUGCCGGCGACAAGCCGGAGGAAGGUGGGGAUGACGUCAAGUCAGCAUGGCCUUUAUGUCCAGGGCUACACACACGCUACAAUGGCCGGUACAAUGGGUUGCCAAGCCGUGAGGCGGAGCUAAUCCCCCAAAGCCGGUCUCAGUUCGGAUUGUGGGCUGCAACUCGCCCACAUGAAGUUGGAGUUGCUAGUAACCGCAGGUCAGCUAUACUGC